CUGGUUUCAGUCAUUGCAGCUACUGCUGUCUUAUGAAGACACAGCAGGAAUCUCAUGCAGCGGACCCACACCUAGUGCCCUGGACCCUGUUGAGGUGCAGCCACCCCGCUCUCAUGAACUCCCAGAAGGAAUUUCAUGUGGAGGCGAUGCCCACACUGA